GGGUGUAAAAUUUCACAUACAGACAAUAAUCCUUGUGUUAGUCAAACUCUUUUUACAUAAGAAAAGUGUAUUUAAGAAAUAAUAUAUUUAAAUAUCUAUAGCUAAUUAUAGAAGUUUAGAAGUUGUAGUUCAUGUUUUACUAGGAUAGUUGAAACCAAAUGAAAUUGUUGAUACUUGAAUGAUCAUAUGCACUCCAAAAUUAUAACAGCUGACCACUAC
rnacentral:lncRNA from 1 species